rnacentral:rRNA from 1 species
AGAGUUUGAUCCUGGCUCAGAACGAACGCUGGCGGCAUGCCUAACACAUGCAAGUCGAACGCUCCCGGGGAUUUCGGUCCUUGGGGGAGUGGCGCACGGGUGAGUAGCGCGUGGGAACCUGCCCUGUUGUGGGGGAUAACCGAGGGAAACUUCGGCUAAUACCGCAUACGCCCCUGGGGCGACCUGGGGGGAAAGAUUUU